rnacentral:lncRNA from 1 species
UGGCCUAUUAGGUUGCUUAUAACAAGCUCUACAAGAUCAUCGGAAAUACUUUGGCCACUUGGUGGCAAAGUUUCUUCUCAUGCUGGUGGAUGAAUCACACUCUACAUUCAUAAAAGGUCUCUCAAUUAUUGAAAAUUUGUGAGUGCAAAUUAGAUUCUGGCUUAGUACGAUAUAAUUGGGAGUAAAGGAGUCUGAUGCAAACUUGAUGUUGAAAAGAUAUUCGAUAAGACUAAUUGGAAAUUCCUUCUCUUUGUAAUGCAAGCCAGAGACUUUUUUAAAAAAGGAUCUCGUGGCUUCAUGAUCUCCUAUUUCAAAAUGGUGGCCAUUCUCAUUAAUGGUUCACCUAGGAAAUGGGUCAAACAUAAGCAACAUUUGAGACAGAGAUCCACUAUCACUGGCUCUUUUGAUUUUGGCAACAGAUGUGUUGGGUAGUCUUCUUAAGCAA